CAGCUGUUAGCCUUGUCUUCGCCUAGGAGGGCAGCCCGAGCCAUGUCACUCCUGCUCUCAGCGCGGCGGGGACCGUCACCCGAGGGAGACAGCGGUCGUGGACAUCAGCACCUCGAGCGAGCCUCAGCCGCCUUGAACAGCCCCAGCCGGUGCCGCUCAGCUCCCAUCUGAGAUCCCCCCUCCUUACGUUCGUCCUCUGCCGCUCUGAUCUCACAUCUUGUUUCUAAUCGAAGCUCAGAGUGAAACACAUGUAAGGAAGAGAAUUUGUGUGCGUGAUGUGUGUGAAGCUGGAUCAUAAGGGAGGUGCAUCCAUGUAGGAAGAACAGAGUACAUAUGCUGUUCAGUACUACCUGCAUUUUCAGGCAUCCCCUGGGGGUCCUGGAAACACGCCCUGUGGACAAGGUGGGGACCGCUGUAGUCUACGACUAAGAAGAUUUUAUUCAUUCAGUGAAUAUUUACUAAUUGUCCAAUCAUCCUGGUAAGCACUGAGGAAAAUCGAUCAAUAAAACAAGAUUGCUACCCCCGAGUUUAUAGUCUAGUGGGAGAGGCAUGAAAACACGAAGUACAAUAAAAUGUUAGUGGCUUGUCGAUGGACAUCAUGUAGGUACAGUGACCACCAAGCACGAACACUAUCCAUGGAGGAUGGGGUAUCGUGAGAGGUUCCCUAAGGAAGGGGGUCCUUGAGUGGUAUUGUUAGGGCUGCCUGGUGGCCUCUGGACUUGAAGUCUCUGACACCUGGCACCCCACGCUUUGUGUGGUCACUCACAGAUAACCAUUGUGGGUAAGCGAGCAAAUUCUGCAGGGGUUCCCUGGGCUAAAAUUAAACCUUGGUUUCAUUUACCUGCACUUGGCAUCAAGAGAAUGCAGCCUGGGAGUGUGCUGUCCUUAGAACUGUUGACACAUAAAAUACGACGGACAAUUGAGUGUACGAGAUGCCCGCUGAAUAGACUCCGCUGGUGCACCUCCCCUCUCCGUUCUCUGACCACACACCAAUGUAAGCAAAGCCCCCAGGGAAACGAAUGGCAUUUCAAAAAUAAGGACAAUCUUCCCAGAGAGCUGUUCACUCCCCUCACAGCCCUCCUCCCAAGAGGAAGGGAAGCUGGCCUGGCUCCAGCCUACACUGGGAGCCGGGCAGCAGGGGCUUGGGCAUAAAACCUGGGCCCUCAGCAACCUCUGCUGUUAGCUAGCUGCGUGAGUGAGUCAGGCCUCGAGCCUGUGACACUGGCCUGGAAAUGCAAAAUUCUGGUGCUCCAAGGAGGAGGGAUGGCCACCUCCAGGAUUUACUUUGACUGUUCUGCAUAUGAAGCAAUGUGGGAGCUACUGUGUCGCUUUAAACCCUGCCACGAUGACCUAAGGGCUGUGUGAGCUCAGGCCAGUGAAUUAGACUCUCUGAGCACAGUCCUCCCGCUGGAUUGGUACAUAAUAGCGUCCCUCCUACGGAACUGCAGUGCUGCGGCGCAGACAGACACACACACCCUAACCAAGGUACUCACAGGGGUUUACAGGCCAAAGUGACCUCAAAGGCGCACCCUCCAAAAAGUUAGGCGUUAUUUAAGAUCACAACCUUUAGAGUCCUAUGGUGAAGCAGAAGAUUAACAAAAUGGAGCAAGAUCAAAAAUGAUUAUUCAGAAACCCACCAGUUGAGUUGAGAGUUGAUUAAAGAGACAGUUUACCUCAGGGGAAGUAUGUGACCAUGGGCAUUAAAGCUCUGAAGCAAGGGGGGGAAGGCAGGGGACCCUUCAGAGAACCCCAUGUUUCAGAUCCCAGAACCUGAAGCAGCGGACAGGCCACACCUCUGAUGGUGAGUGACGGACUGGUUUUGAAGGGGACCUCACCUCGACAAGAAGGGACAUUGUGCACCUUCCCAAGGCCCUACACAUCCAGAGCCCUCACUGGCUCUGCUCUCAUAGACCUAUUUGUAGGAAAGAGCCAAAGGUUGGUCAAGGAGGAGAGGAAGAUAGGUCUGAUUCUCCAGUUCCCAAAAUGUGGCCUUUCCCAGGUGCCACCGUUCCCCACAGGCCAUUUAUACAAAUGGCUCCCCUGAAGUGGGGACCUUACUAAUAAGAAGUGGCUACUUCACAUUCCCGAAAAUUCCUCCAAAUAUUCCGAAUACGUCUGACAGCAUUCCCUGAUGAGAGCCAAUCUUCAGAAGUUCUUUAAGUGCAGGUAUAAACAUCAGAGCAUUUCAUGUGCAAAUUUCAAAUCAUCACCAAGACCACUAUGACUUCUGGUCAAAUAACUCCCUCCCAGGACAGUACCGAAGGCACCAAGGUACAGCAGUAGGCACUAGGGAGAGACGGGCCGUCCAACAGAAGGCUGAAGAAAUACACGUUAGAAUAAAAAUGCAAUCACCUUGCUUCAAAAUAUCUGGAUGUACUUUUAAGAACCUCAUCUCAUUUUAGACUUUAAUACAUUUUUUUAUUUUUAAAGAUUCAUUUAUCCAUUUUGGGGGAAGGGGCAGAGGGAGAAAGAAUUUCAAGCAGACUCCCUGCUGAGCACAGAGCCUGACACCAACCCCGACAUUGGGGCUCCAUCUCAGGACCCUGAGAUCCCAACCUGUGAUGAAACCAAGAGUGGGACACUUAACUGACUGUGCCACCAGGUGCCUGUCAUACUGCUUUUAGGUAGGGUUAGUACAUCAGUUUUUUAGAUGAUGGACUCAGUGACUCAAUGAAGGCAAGUGACCUGUCCAAACAGGAGAGAAGCUGUGGUUAGAAUGGAGGUCUCUUUCUCCUAUGUCAAUUGACUUAACUGCACAAGCUCUUUUUUUUUUUUUUUUUUUUAAAGAUUUUAUUUAUUUGAGAGAGAGAGAGAAAGAGAGAGAGAGAGAACCCAAGCAAGAGGGGGAGAGGCUGAGGGAAAGGGAGGGAGAAAAUCCUGACUUAAGACUCCUCCUCAAGCGCAGAACCUGAAGAGGGGCUCGAUGGCAGGACUCUGAGAUCAUGACCUGAGCUGAAACCAAGAGUUGGCCACUUACCCAACUGAACCACCCAGGUGCUAAUGCAGUGGGUCAGAAAGUGUGACUCAUGGACUGAAGUACUUAGGCAGCAAAGUUCCUAAGUGCCAGAGACACCUACACAACAAAGUUCCUAAGUGCCAGAGACAUCUACACUAACAAAGAGGCUCUCACGGGAUGGAAAUGAUACCACUGGCCUUCCAGGGUAGCUUUGCUGGACUCCGGGGGCAAGUAAAGAAGUCGACUCCUUUAGUCCUGCGGGCUCCAUGGAGAAGGGGAAUUUGUUUCAGGAGCCAGAUGGCCAGGGAGAGGCAGGCCUUCUGGCCCCAGGAAAACACAGAAUAAGGGACCUGACUGCCCUCCAGACUCCAUCGUGGCCUUGGUCUCCACUCCCUUCUGUACAUCUGCUGGGCUCCCUUCUCUGCAGACCAACAUUCUUUGCUCUCUGCUUCUCAGGCAAACAGACAACGUGGAAGGUGCUUCUAUCAAAGGAAUGACUAAAUCCCUGUCAACCCCAAUUGUAAAUUUUUGUUGUGGUCAAGCAAUCUGUCAGGUCCAGUGAGCUGAGACUGGGGGUCAGGGGUAGGGUGGUGUUAGAGAGGAAGCCCUGUUGCACGACACAGCUGCCAGGGCCGUGGCUCUGGACUGGGAGAGAGGGGAGGGUCACAGACAUUUUUAUUUAUUUAUAUUAUUUUUAAAGUUACUGUUAAUAUUAUUAUUUAG